UACGGGAGGCAGCAGUGGGGAAUCUUGCGCAAUGGGCGAAAGCCUGACGCUACAACGCCGCGUGGAUGAUGAAGGCCUUCGGGUCGUAAAAUCCUGUUGUGGGGGACGAAACCUCGCGCUCGUAACUGGGCGCGAACUGACGGUACCCCACGAGGAAGCCCCGGCUAACUACGUGCCAGCAGCCGCGGUAAUACGUAGGGGGCGAGCGUUGAUCCGGAAUUAUUGGGCGUAAAGAGCUCGUAGGCGGCAUUUCAAGUCAGGUGUGAAAGCCGACGGCUUAACCGGAGGACUGCAUUUGAUACUGGAGUGCUUGAGGUAGGUAGAGGAAGGUAGAAUUCCCGGUGUAGCGGUGAAAUGCGUAGAUAUCGGGAGGAAUACCAGUGGCGAAGGCGGCCUUCUGGGCCUUACCUGACGCUGAGGAGCGAAAGCUAGGGGAGCGAACGGGAUUAGAUACCCCGGUAGUCCUAGCCGUAAACGAUGGGCACUAGGAGGUCUUGACCCCUUCCGUGCCGCAGCUAACGCAUUAAGUGCCCCGCUGGGGAGUACGGCCGCAGGUUGAAACUCAAAGGAAUUGACGG
rnacentral:rRNA from 1 species